UGGCUACAAAAUAACUUAUUUUGUAGCCACUUUGAAUUACGAUAAUUACUAUAUUAAUUUACAAGAUUAUAGUAACUCCUUACCAACAUUACGGUAAAUAUCCCCAUGUGUUAAAGUAACCCAACUAUCGUAAAUUAGUAUAUAAAAUUAUUGUAAAUGGAGAUGGCUAUAGAAUAACAUAUUUUGUAGCUA
rnacentral:pre_miRNA from 1 species